GGCUGACAGGAGUUAGCAGUGCACACAAUGAAGUCUGUUCUUAUCCAGGGGUUCUGACCAUACCCUGCACACAGUAACUGCACUGUGGGCUACCUCUCCACCCCUCGGAUCAGAGCCCCCCAACACACACACCGCGCGCUUCCGCCACCCCUUCCUGGUACCUGCCCAGUUCCUCGCCGGUGUCGUAGUAGUCGUCCACGUUUUCCUGCCUGAACACAGUCAUGAUAGACUGUCACGCCUCACCAAAGCCCAGGCCACUCCGGCUCCGCGGCCCGAACCAUCCCCACCGCCGCCUCGCUGCUGCGGGCCCCUCAUGCACCAAGCCGCAGACCUCUGAAAGACAUGUGGAAAAGAAUGAAAUGGUAAACCCCCCAAAAUCCGGGUCCCGGGAGCUGGGCCCCGAUCUCGAGGCCUCCCGCGGGCAGGGGCCACGCGCCCUUUGUUAAAUCUGGGCUGGGAGACCCCCACACCCCGCACUGCCGCGCCCCAGCCCCGUGCCUGCGGUUCCCGGGCUCGUGCCUCCGCCUCCGGACGGCGUGGGGACAGCUCAGGGAAGGGACACAAAGCGCCCUGCCCGGCCACCUGUUCCCCCGCCCGGCGCCCGGGCCGCCCUCCUGCUCCUCCCACUGCCUGCGGCGGCCACUCACCCGGCCCCGCAG